AGCAGCCGCGGUAAUUCCAGCUCCAAUAGCGUAUAUUAAAGUUGUUGCAGUUAAAAAGCUCGUAGUUGAAUUUCGGGGUUAGUAGGUUGGUCAUGCCUCUGGUAUGUACUGGUCUCACUGAUUCCUCCUUCCUGAUGAACCUUAAUGCCAUUUAUUUGGUGUUUUGGGGAAUUUGGACUGUUACUUUGAAAAAAUUAGAGUGUUUAAAGCAAGCUAACGCUUGAAUACAUUAGCAUGGAAUAAUGAAAUAGGACGUUCGAUCCUAUUUUGUUGGUUUCUAGGAUUGACGUAAUGAUUAAUAGGGAUAGUUGGGGGCAUUAGUAUUCAAUUGUCAGAGGUGAAAUUCUUGGAUUUAUUGAAGACUAACUACUGCGAAAGCAUUUGCCAAGGAUGUUUUCAUUAAUCAAGAACGAAGGUUAGGGGAUCGAAGACGAUCAGAUACCGUCGUAGUCUUAACCAUAAACUAUGCCGACUAGGGAUCGGAUGAUGUUAAUUUUUUAAUGACUCAUUCGGCGCCUUACG
rnacentral:rRNA from 1 species